CAGGGAGUCCCACCAGCCUAGUGGCCAGACCUUCUGUGGGAUCACCGGACCCACCUGGAACCCCACUUGCUGGCCCUCACGGAAGAGCAACAGCUGAUGUUUGAGAAACUGACUCUGUAUUGCGACAGCUACAUCCAGCUCAUCCCCAUUUCCUUCGUGCUGGGUGAGUUCCCCCUUCCGGCUGUUCCGGGGGAGGAUCACGAGGAGCUGCGGCAAGGGGCUGGGGUGGCGGGCGGGGGAAAGCCAGCGGCAGGUCGGCGCCUCUCUGUAGUUCAGGGAAAGGUGCGGACUGCAGCCAGAGAAACUGAAGUUAGACGUUAGCUAAGACGUCCUGCCGUUAGCAAUGAAAACCCCAUUUUCUGAGGGAAGCGCUGACAUCAUGGUCCCUGGAGCCUCUGCACGGGAGGGGAGAGGGUCUGGCGGAUUUCUGGGACCAGCAUGGGGACCCCCGGGUGACAGACCCCUUGGGGCUCUCGCGCCUCCAUGCGAGGCUCUGCCUGCCUCCCGCUCCCGAGCGCCUUCCAGGAGGGUUGGGGGCUAGGCCUGCUCGCAGCAGAAAGCUGGAGGAGCCGAGGCAUCGCCGGGUGCUGGACCCUGGGCUCUGGCCGCAGCCUGGCCCCUCGCCCCUCGCCCCCCGCCCCUCCUGCCCAGGCUUCUACGUGACGCUGGUUGUGACCCGCUGGUGGAACCAGUACGAGAACCUGCCGUGGCCCGACCGCCUCAUGAGCCUGGUGUCGGGCUUCGUCGAAGGCAAGGACGAGCAAGGCCGGCUGCUGCGGCGCACGCUUAUCCGCUAUGCCAACCUGGGCAACGUGCUCAUUCUGCGCAGCGUCAGCACCGCCGUCUACAAGCGCUUCCCCAGCGCCCAGCACCUGGUGCAAGCAGGCUUUAUGACUCCAGCAGAACACAAGCAGUUGGAGAAACUGAGCUUACCACACAACAUGUUCUGGGUGCCCUGGGUGUGGUUUGCCAACCUGUCGAUGAAGGCGUGGCUUGGAGGUCGAAUCCGGGACCCUAUCCUGCUCCAGAGCCUGCUGAACGAGAUGAACACCUUGCGUACUCAGUGUGGACACCUGUAUGCCUACGACUGGAUUAGUAUCCCACUGGUGUAUACACAGGUGGUGACUGUGGCGGUGUACAGCUUCUUCCUGACUUGUCUAGUUGGGCGGCAGUUUCUGAACCCGGCCAAGGCCUACCCAGGCCAUGAGCUGGACCUCGUUGUGCCCGUCUUCACGUUCCUGCAGUUCUUCUUCUACGUUGGCUGGCUGAAGGUGAGCCUCUCCAGGGCCCCGCUGGGCUGGAGGCAUGGCCAGAGGGGUCAUGGCCAGCAGCUGCCUGAGAUGAGGAUGCAGUGUCAGGAAAGGAAAGUCUCAUGGGUAGAAAGUAGCCAGGCGUGGUGGUGCACGCCUGUAAUCCCAGCUACUCAGGAGGCUGAGGCAGGAGAAUCACUUGAACCCAGGAGGCAGAGAGGUUGUGGUGAGUUGAGAUUGUGCCACUGCACUCCAGCCAGGGCAAAAGAAUGAAACUCUGUCUCAAAAACAACAACAACAACAACAAAACAAAGCCCUAAGGUUCACUAGCCCCCGCCUUUUAGAAGGCAGAUUGGCACCACCUCUCCUUAUUCAAGAUGCCUCUUGGGCUGUCUUGUUCCUCACCUCAAGUGGCUUGUCCAGGUAUUCCCUCCCACCACAGCCAGUACUCCGAACAGGUGUUCUGAAUCACACAGUUUUCUCUCCACCUCUUUAUCUUUCCUUCCUUCUGUUGCCCACCCGCUCUCUCUCCCUUCCUACCCUCCUUUAUUUUUUGGUAGUGGGUGUAAAUCUCUGUCUCUGCCCUUCCUGUCGCUGUGACACACACACACACAGACACACACACACACACACGUGCAUUCCUAUUCCUCUAAAUUCCCCCUGCCCCGCAGUUAUCUUUGGUUUCUACAGAUCAAAACAAAUCACACUUUUGUGCUUGAAAUUCUCCAGGGUGCCCCAGUGGCCUGCAAGAUGUCCCCUGGACCCCUAAGGCAGAGGCGUGUCACCUCUUCGGGGCUUUGUUAGGGCAUUUUAGAGAUUGCUGUCCAGGAAUCUGCCCACCUAGACCGACCUUUAGUUCAGCCCAGCUUCAGUAUAUAUCUCUGUUGCAUGAAUGAAUAAAAUUAUGCAACUCCAGGUAAGAUACAUGAGGUGAGAUAAAGACGGUGACUCAGCUGAGUGAUACACUCAGGGACAGCUGUUGGUGUUCAGGGAAGGACUGGCUCAGAAGAGUUAGAGGGGCUGUGUCCAGAAGUGUGUGGGUGCCCACAAGUGUGGGGGGCUGGAGCCCUAAACUCUGCCUUUGAAGACAGUGGUCAGGCAGGAAGGGUGUCAUGGGGUGUGGAAAUGGCAGCAGCUGAGGUUUAAAGGGGGAGGCUGGCUUUGAGGAGUUCUGCCUGAGGGUUUACAGAGCCUCGCCUGUCCCCAAGGUGGCAGAGCAGCUCAUCAACCCCUUUGGAGAGGAUGAUGAUGAUUUUGAGACCAACUGGAUCGUCGACAGGAAUUUGCAGGUGUCCCUGUUGGCUGUGGAUGAGAUGCACCAGGACCUGCCUCGGAUGGAGCCGGACAUGUACUGGAAUGAGCCCGAGCCACAGCCCCCCUACACAGCUGCUUCCGCCCAGUUCCGUCGAGCCUCCUUUAUGGGCUCCACCUUCAACAUCAGGUGUGGCCAGUGCCAGGGGGCUGGGUGGGAAGCCCCUCCUAGUGCAGGGGUCUGCCUAGGAACUUAGAAUAGCACUAGUUAACACAUACAGGGUGCCUCAGUAAGUGUCAGGCACUGUACUAUGCUCUUUAUAAAUAUUAACUAUUUUUUCCUUCCAAUAAUUCUGGUUUGUUAUCCCAAGUUUUCAGACAAUUAAAGUACAGGUUCAGAGAGAGUAAGUUGUCCAAGGCCACAUAGCUACCAAAUGGUGCAUUUGCUACUCGAAGGACAGCCUGUGAUCAGUGAUGCAGUGGAACAUUAGGACCUGGCUCCUGUCAUCCAGAACUAUGUUUUCUUUUCUUUUUGAGACAGAGUCUUGCUCUGUCGCCCAGGUUGGAGCGCAGUGGCGUGAUCUUGGCUCACUGCAACCUCCGCCUCCUGGGUUCAAGUGCUUCAGCCUCCCCAGUAGCUGGAAUUACAGGUGCCCACAACCACAACUGGCUACUUUUUGUACUUUUAGUAGAGAUGAGGUUUCACCAUGUUGGCCAGGCUGGUCUCGAACUCCUGACCAGUAAUCUGCCUGCUUUGGCCUCCCAAAGUGCUGGAAUUAUAUGUGUCAAAACUAUGUUUUCUGAUAAGCUACGGUGCUUGGAUGGGAAGUGGAAGUGGGGUUCCCUGGGAUGGGGGAGGGGCAGCAAAUGUCCCAGCAGGCAGCCAGGCCAUCACAGAUACCUCCUGAAUUGACUUUGUCCUACCGAGUAAAGGGUUCAGGUCACCCACAGCAGCCAGACUUAUCCCUAUAUGGUCCCACUUCCCUGAUUCCAUCUGAAUCCCUCUUGAGCUGCAGUGGGCUGAAGGGCUAUCCCAGCUGGUCCUUUCUCCCCACGAUAACAGAGUUGAAAGUGCCUUGGAGAGUGACAUUUCAGGGUUCAUACUCAAGGGUUUCUUCCACGGUAUCCAGUAUUGUUCUCGCUUGUUCUUUUCUCUUUUUUUUUUUUAAACGGAGUUUCGCUCUUGUUGCCCAGGCUGGAGUGCAGUGGCACAAUCUCAGCUCACUGCAACCUCUUCCUCCCAGAUUCAAGCAAUUCUCCUGCCUCAGCCUCCUGAGUAGCUGGGAUUAUAGGUGCCAGCUACCAAGCCCGGCUAAUUUUUGUAUUUUUAGUAGAGACAGUUUCACCAUGUUGGCCAGGCUGGUCUCGAACUCCUGACCUCAGGUGAUCCACCCUCCUCAGCCUCCCCAAGUGCUGGGAUUAUAGGUGUGACCCACUGUGCCUGGCUGCUGCUUCUUUUAAGAACCAAAUAUCCUACUAGACUGCAAUCGAGUUUAACUAGAGUCUAUAGAUAGUGUGAGGAAGGGUUGGGAAGGUGAUCAAAUGAAGGCUGGAGGCUUGCUUAGGUCAGAAACAUUUCUGGAGGAUGACUUUGCGCCCUACAUGGUCUGUACCCCAGCAGCUGAAGGUUGUUGGGGCGGGGGGGGGGAAGGCUGAAAACAGAACGAUAAAGCAUAGACCUCAUCUCCAAGGAAUGUGCAAUUUACGGAGGGAGCUCAAACCCAAGCCUCAAACUCUGGAUACAAGGUACAAAGUACUGGAUGUCCAGGAAAGGGACAGAACAUAGAACACAGUCAUCUUUGUCUGCCUGGGAGGCGGCUUCCAGCUGGGUCUGGAGCUGGACCGUGGAACAUGGGAAGAAUCUGAACUUGGGCAAGGGCAGGCCAUACUCUGUGGUAGAUAAGCUUUCCCUUGCAGGGUAAAGGUCUUGGGCUCCCGGGAUGCCUGUUGCUAGGAAGCCAAAUUUCUCUUUGUGGAUGUCACUCCCAGUUGGAACCACAAAUCCCUGGCAUUGCCCAGAGUCACUCAUGGGCCUCAUCUGAACCACUCAUGCCAGGGCACCAGUGUUUCUGACUGCCUGGAGUGAGGGGUUUUACAGGGGAAGUGAAUGAUGAGGAGGCCUUUACACGCCAGGCAGGGUGGUUGGGGGGGUUGGAUGUUAACUCUGGUCAAGAGGGAAUCAACAGUGAGGUGAGCUGGGCCUGGAGGGAUCACCAGGAGGUACAGGACGGAUCAGGAGAGAGGUGAGAGCUGGGGCAUGGUGAGGAAGAUGGUGUGGCCUUGGCUUGGGCCAGCCGAGAGAGAGGAGCGGGGGUAAGGGAGAAGUAAGGCCAGGUGUCGGUCCUUUGUCCACUGGCUCAGCCCUGCAUCUCCUGCUUCUUUCCAGCCUGAACAAAGAGGAGAUGGAGUUCCAGCCCAAUCAGGAGGAUGACGAGGACGCUCAUGCUGGCAUCAUUGGCCGCUUCCUAGGGCUGCAGUCCCAUGAUCACCAUCCUCCCAGGGCAAACUCAAGGACCAAACUACUGUGGCCCAAGAGGGAAUCCCUUCUCCACGAGGGCCUGCCCAAAAACCACAAGGCAGCCAAACAGAACGUUAGGGGCCAGGAAGACAAGGCCUGGAAGCUUAAGGCUGUGGACGCCUUCAAGUCUGCCCCACUGUAUCAGAGGCCAGGCUACUACAGUGCCCCACAGACGCCCCUCAGCCCCACUCCCAUGUUCUUCCCCCUAGAACCAUCAGCGCCGUCAAAGCUUCACAGUGUCACAGGCAUAGACACCAAAGACAAAAGCUUAAAGACUGUGAGUUCUGGGGCCAAGAAAAGUUUUGAAUUGCUCUCAGAGAGUGAUGGGGCCUUGAUGGAGCACCCAGAAGUAUCUCAAGUGAGGAGGAAAACCGUGGAGUUUAACCUGAUGGAUAUGCCAGAGAUCCCUGAAAAUCACCUCAAAGAACCUUUGGAACAAUCACCAACCAACAUACACACUACACUCAAAGAUCACAUGGAUCCUUAUUGGGCCUUGGAAAACAGGGAUGAAGCACAUUCCUAACCUGCUUCCUAACGGGGAUGCUUCGCCAGACAGGUCCUCACCUGUGUACACCAGCAGGACACUGAUCCAGUCACAGCCAUACAGCUGUCCACACUGAAGAACAUGUCCUACAACAGUCUGAAUCAAAUGGUUAGCUUAAUAGAUAAAAAUCCCAGGACUACUUCAGCCUUU
rnacentral:sRNA from 1 species